CUACGGGGGGCUGCAGUGGGGAAUAUUGCACAAUGGAGGAAACUCUGAUGCAGCAACGCCGCGUGGAGGAUGACACUUUUCGGAGCGUAAACUCCUUUUAUAUAGGAAGAAGAUGACGGUACUAUAUGAAUAAGCGCCGGCUAACUCCGUGCCAGCAGCCGCGGUAAUACGGAGGGCGCAAGCGUUACUCGGAAUCACUGGGCGUAAAGAGCGUGUAGGCGGAUUAAAAAGUCAGAAGUGAAAUCCUAUAGCUUAACUAUAGAACUGCUUCUGAAACUCCUAAUCUAGAAUAUGGGAGUGGUAGAUGGAAUUUCUGGUGUAGGGGUAAUAUCCGUAGAGAUCAGAAGGAAUACCGAUUGCGAAGGCGAUCUACUAGAACAUUAUUGACGCUGAGACGCGAAAGCGUGGGGAGCAAACAGGAUUAGAUACCCUUGUAGUC
rnacentral:rRNA from 1 species